rnacentral:tRNA from 1 species
GGCCCGGUAGCUCAGCUGGAUAGAGCACUCGCCUUCUAAGCGAGCGGUCGUACGUUCGAAUCGUACCCGGGUCGCCA